GCUAUUUCUUUCUCCUUCUUGUGCGUUUUCUGAUCAGAUUGAGGCCGCCAAUGACCACCUCGCCAUUAGAACGCUAUUGCGACACUGCCGCUGGUCGGAGACGUUGUUAACAGCUCGAAGAGCCACCGAGAUAGGUGACAUUCGCCGUUUUUGCUGCUGAGAGGGUCAUGCGUGACCUGAGGGUUCUCGGUAGGUAUCGUAACCUGCCACUUCUUCCUUCCUCUCACCUGAUCGGCGAUGUAACUACCACCGGUGGCCCUUGGCCACUGAUCUCGUCAUUUCCCGCGAUGUAGCCACCUGAAAGGUAGCCGGAUGUUUAUGGGUUCCAAUUUACAACCUGUUUAUUAUGGUCUUGAAGUUGUGGGCGUGAUGUAUGGCUGGGAUGUUUGGUAUAAACUAGUAUUUUCGUGGGUGUUGUAGAUGUUGUUUGAUGACCGGAAAAUGGAGAAAGAACCCACCAUGGCCGCCAGCCAUGGUGGCUGCCGCCAAGCUCAGCUACCGGCCGCCAUGGUGUGUGUAUGAUUAGUUUGUGAGUGUGUGUGAUUAGUUUAGUAUGUGUGUGUAUAUGGUUAAUUGAGAUUAGCUUUGUAAAAUGUAACUUCAAUUUUGGAUUAAUGAAAAGAAUCAAAACCACCACCAUAAGGUGGUGGCCGCCGCCGUGAGCCGCCAUGGACCACCACUACCCUAGGUGGUAGUGGGUGGUGCCCCGCUAGCAAACCCUAAUGGGCCUAGAGAUUGGUUUUGGGCCUUUUGGGUCAUGUUUGGGUGGAAAACCCUAAUUGUGAGUUUUGGGCCUUAGACUAAUUGGGCCACUUGUGGGCCAUUGGGAUUGGAUUGUGAAUUAAGCCCAAACUAUUCCAUGCCAUUUAUCUAGUGGAUUAAAGGACUUAAUGGAUUAAGUCCUUAAUGGGCUAAUUGAGAAAAUACUAAUAUUUGAGAGAUUAUCAGCACACGUGGGAAUUAUUUAAUAAGUGAAUAUUAAAUAAUAAUCAUUGGCAUAAAUUAAUCUAAGUAAUAAUGGACUUAAUGGAUUAAGUCCCUAGUGUGUUAAGUCCUUAGUGGGUUAAGAAACACUUAACCCUAGUUAUCAUUUGAUGUGAAACCCUAAUUUCACUUGGGCUUUGUGUUGGGCCAUCCGAGAAUAAUCAAAUGGACUAGAGUAAUUAGUUGGGCUUUAGGGUAAGGCCUAUAUGAAGGAUUGGGCCUAAUUUGGAAAAUUGGGCCAUAGAUGGGCCAUAGUUGGGGCCUAGAUGGUUGUAUGAUAUUGGGCCUUAGAAUGAUACAUGUUGGACUGGACUGAUCAAUUGGGCCUUAAGGGAAGUCCAUGUAGAGGUUUGGGCCCAAUUUGGAAAAUUGGGCCAUAUGUUGGGCUUUGAUCCCUAGUUGACUUUGGGCCUAUGGAUUGGGCCUUGGGCUUGGGUAAGCCAAGCUAGGGGUAAUGUAGUAAUUAUCCAAAGCAUGUAUUUUUAGUUAUGUGUUAGAACCCAAUUAUUAAUUGGGUGUUAUUUGGUGUUGACAGUUCGGGAAUCUGUCAGCCAGCAGCUGGGGUGGAGUCUGCGGGACUUCAGCAGUGUGGGAUUGUGUCUACGGGACUUCAGCAGUGUGAGGUGAGUUUCCUUCCAGUAGGAACGGGUCUAAGGCCACAAUGCCGGCCCGUUUAGUUAGCAGUAGUUUCCGGACUUCGGUCCGAUGCAGUAGUUAGUAUGUUUGAUGCCUUCGUGGCUCAGACAGGAUUUAUGUGUUAUGUGUUCCGGGCUACGGCCCGAUGCAGUAUGCAGUAUAUGUGUGUUCAUGCUAGUUGAUAUGUUUAUGUUAUGUUAUGUUCAGUUAGUUCCGGACUUCGGUCCGAUGCAGGGGACAAGGUCCCAGUUAGUUCCGGACUUCGGUCCGAUGCAGAAGGCAAGGCCCUGGUUAGUUCCGGACUCCAGUCCGAUGUAGUUUCCGGACUUCAGUCCGAUGCAGAGGGCAAGGCCCUGGUUAGUUCCGGACUCCGGUCCGAUGUAGUUUCUGGACUCGGUCCGAUGCAGAGGACAAGGCCCUGGUUAGUUUUCGGACUUCGGUCCGAUGCAGUGGGCAAGGCCCAGUAUGUGCUUUAUAUGUUAUUGUAUGGUAUGUGGUAGUUUGGGGGAGCUCACUAAGCUUCGUGCUUACGGUUUUCAGUUUUGGUUUCAGGUACUCAGUUUUCAAAAGAGGAGCUCGGGAAGAUUGCAGUGCACACACCAUAGUCAGUUAGCCUGGGAAUGUUUGACUCUGAUAAUGAUAUUAUGUUUUGAAUUAAUACUCUAAAAAUUAUGUUAUGACUUAUGAUACAGUUUUGUAAAUAUGGUUUUAGUAAUGUUUUAAAAGAAAUUUUUAGUCGUGAUUUUUGGGUCGUUACAAGUUUGUAUCAGAGCCUUGGUUUGAGGGAUUCGGGCGCACUCCCGAGUGUGUCUGAACUCAAACUAAGGAAGAGGUAUAAAGUUUUCAAGAGAAAAACCAUGGUUACAAAAGAAUUUUGAGAAAAGAAAACAAUUUUAGAAAAAGUAUAAAGAAAAGAGUUUUAGAAAAAGCAAAAAGAAUUUUGAAAAGAGAAAAGGGUGUGGUGCAUGCAAUCAGCCGAGCUCAAGUAAGUACUCCCAAAUUACCCAUACAAGUUUAUGAUCAUUAGUUUCAGUUUCAGUUUUAGUUCCAGUUUCAGUUUCAGUUUCAGUAGAACAGCAUGCUAGUAUAGGACUAAGGAUCUAGGAGGAUGCCUUAUGUGCCUGCUUUAUGUGUUUCAGCUUGAUAAGAAUUUCAUGCUAGUAUUGAGUAGACAGUAGUAGGAUAGCCUGUGUAGGUUAUGCCUGAUAGUAUGAGCUUAGCAUUGUAUGCUAGUACAGUUUCUUGUUAUGAGAAUAGUUUUGCCUGAGUAUGUUUCCUUUAUCCGAAUGCUGCUUGCUUUGUGCUUUGUGGGACUCUGAGUGAUGGGAGUUAGCCAUUAGGUGAAUACGUCACAUCACAUGUGAUCAGGGUUGAAUAAUCUCAGAGUGCUGGAUUUGGCCCUACUGCGCAGCUCUUGUUUGAGUCUAACCGUUGUAGGGACGAGACUUUUACUCGAAGGAUUAUCCGAGCCUCAUUGCAUGUGAUGGUAUUCAGGUGGUGGCUAAUUGGCAUUACAAGGAGGCCUUCAGCAGCUGAGGACUGGUUUGGGUGGAGUCAGAAGUUCCCUAGGGAAAGCCUAGGAAGGUAGUAGCAGAGAUCAGUAGCAGUAGAGUGACUUGGUGGAGUCGAGGCAGUUCUUGAGGAAAGUACGGAUAGAUGUGGAAGGUAGUAUGGGCCAGUACUACUGAAAGCAGAGGAUCCGUACUCGAAUCAAGGAAGGCUGAGAUGAAUCCAGGGAACUUGUAGUGUGUGAGAUCCCUCGAGAUUGGAUGAGUAUUGUAAUGUUAGUGAUGGCAUGUUGCCGAGUAUAGUGACGCUACGUGGUAGACCAGAUGGUAGUUCUGGUGUCGACAGGGGAUCAGGCUCGGACUCUGGAGCCGGGCAGAUUGAUGAUCAGAUGAGAGAGUUCAUUUCAUCUGAGAAUUUUGCGCAGUAUCACUGACCAGACUCCUGUGAUCCUCAGUGUGAUCAAGGAGGGCAUUAUGGAGAUUUGUGAUGAGAGGCCGAGUGCAUUCUGCACUGAGAUAGCAGUCAUGAUAGAGACCCGUACGUUGAUGUUUCUGGAAUUCAGAGUUUGCGAGGCUUCAGAUUGUCAUGGGGGUUAGGGACGCCAUUGUUAGCGGCAGAUGGUUGGCAGAUGUUGCCAACACUUUUCGUACCAGACGUUGUCUCGAAAGGAGACAAGAUCCGACUUACUUCCUGUCUCCUGAGGGAUAGAGCACGAGAUUGAUAGGAAGAGGUCGGUAGUGAGUUGUGUGAUGCGGUUAAUGCUAGUUCAUGGGAUGACUUUUAGACUAGCUUUUGGGCAGAGUGUGCCCAGGAGAUUGAGGCGCAGCAGUUGGCACAAUGGUUGUUAGAUCCCCACCAGAAGACUGAGACUGUGGCAGAGAUCACUGCCAAGUCUUGGGAAAGAGCUUAUAUGAAACCACAAUAUGCAGCAGAUGAGGAAAUGAAGAAGGUAAGUUAUCAGAACAUACUGUAGAAUGAUAGCAGGGAGAUUGUGAGUAUCUCGGGGUGCAAGACCCUGAAUGAUAUGCCUUCUAGAGCUCGAGAGCGGGAUAUGGACUUGGAGCACAUUGGUAAGAGGGAACCAAAUCAGUUGCUUAUAGUGAGGGGUCUCGGGAGGAGACCGUAGAUUUCAGAUUAGCUUUCGAAAGACCAGCAGGACCAGAUUCGGUGUAGCACUUGCGGGAGUAGGGAGUACAACGUCAUCUUGGUUUAUUCCAAGACUAAGGAGUAGCACGAGAAGCACCUGAGGGAGGUGCUAGAGACUUUGAGGAGGGAGAGAAUUUUCGCAAGGUUCUCUAAUUGUGAGUUCUGGUUGCGCGGGGUGCAAUUUCUUGGGCACCUUGUCAAUCAGAAGGAUAUUCUAGUCGAUCCGGCCAAGAUAUAGGUCAUGAUGUAGGGGAGAAUUCCGAGGUCUCCAACUGAGAUUCGGAGCUUCCUAGGUCUAGCGGGUUUUUACCAGAGAUUUAUUCGGAUUUUUUUAGAAGUUGAGUGAUCUUUUUGGAUUAGCUGGUGUUGAAAACACUAGAAAGGGUAAGCGUGGUUCUAGCAGAUUAGUCAUGGGUGGUAAGAAGGAUCGGGAAUCCUUUCAAGACAGUGAACUCUAAGGAGCUAGUUGAAUCGAAGUGGGGGAGGAACCCUCAUAUAGUUAGGAACGGAAGAAGGUACGAAGCUAGGAUGAGUUCGCAACUUUGUUGAGCAGGAUAGUAGUCCGAGUGGCUGAUCGGAUUGAGAAAUGCGUGAGUUGGGAGUUGGGAAACUCCCCAGUAUUAAGUGCGUGUAAUAGCGAUCAGUAGAUGAUUGGUUUGGGAAACCAUGUUGAAGAUUUUCUCGGCAGGACAUGAUAUUAGUUAGGAUGUAAGACUACGGGACAGCCGUAGCAUUCACCAGCAGGUAGACAGUACGGGAAGUGUAGCAAGGCUACAAGAUGACCAUAGUAAUCACGUUAGACGAUAGCUGGGUUGGAGGAUCGCCGACAUGAUUCGAGUAAGUCAAUAUGCAGAUUUAGUGAAGGUCCGGCUUGGGAUGCUUUCAGAUUAGUAGGCGGUGUAGAGUCAGAAUGGAGAGUGUAGCAGGACUGCGGAAUAGCCGCAGCAUUCCCUAGCAGUGAGUUAGUGAGGGAAGUGAUGUAAGUCUACGGGUGUAGCCGUAGCGUUCACUAGCAGCCAGAUAGUGUUAGAGUGUUGUAAGUCUACGGGUGUAGCCGUAGCGUUCACUAGCAGCCAGACAGUAAUAGAAUGUGGCGAUUCUGCGGGUAUAGCCGUAGCAUUCACUACGUUGGUAGAUAGCGUGAGUGCGUUGUUAGGACGUGGAAAGAACAGUAGUACCCACCAUUUCAGGUAUAGUAGUACGGAUAUGGAAAUCCAUGGAUUGGAUUUCGGAAUUUCCCAGACGGAUUAGACCUGGUUAAGCCAUUGAUAAGACUGUAGAAGCGCCACUACAGAGAAGAGAGCAGAGAAGCAGUGGACUGCUUGAGGUCAUUUAUGACAUAAGGCUACCAAUGGUCAUGUAGCAAUCACUUUUCGCUUUGGGUUUGGUGACGUCAGAACUCGAUGUAUGGACUCGAUCAGUUAGAUCAGCAAGUUAUUAGAGCCUCAGUGGCAUGGUGACUAGUGGCAAAUAGUUCUAGAGAAGGAACUUGUUCAGAAGUCGUGUGAGGCGACUAAGUAGGGAGUCCUUUGGCUCUGUAGUUGGGCUGGAACCCGAUAUUUCAGAUGAUUGGCGGAAAAUUGAGACUAGGUAGCUCUCGGUAGAUGUCAGGAAGUAGCCAUGUGGCAGCAUACAGUUCAGUGUUUCGGGCAGUUCAGCGUUCAGGUAGUUCAGUGUUCAAACAGUUCAGUGUUUCAGGCAGUUACUGCUCUUGGGCAAUGUUAGUAAUUGUGCCCUAAGUUGCAAGUACAGACAGGAUGGCUGGUUCAUUGGGAAGUGACAAGUCACUCACAGCGGAAAUAGCUGAGCUUUGGCCAAGUAUAAGUGAUCUACAGGGAUAAUUAGGUUUGGGAACCUGUUUUGUAGUGGGUAUUUUCGAGCUAGCAGAAGUUGAGUAGUCAGUUGAGAGAUAAGCAGGCUGGUUUCAUCGAUAAUAAUUUGGUAUGGGUGGUCUGUCAGGGAAUCAGACUAUCUCAAGGCAGCAAAUAUCAGACGGAAUAGAUGUGAUCUUGUCGCGAGGGUUGGUUACAGUUACCCUAGAAAGGCUAGGGUGUGCCUAGGAUGGUGAUCAGGUUACUAUAGUGGUUUGAAGUGAAAGGAAUGAUAAUGAAUGAUUUCGAGGACGAAAUCUAAUUUAAGUGGGGGAGAGUUGUAACGCCCUGUUUCUUUGAAAAAUAAAUAAAUAAAUAAAUGUGUAGAAGCCCUAAAAUGAAUAAUAAUUGAGCGAGGUGUAGUUUCGAGGAGUUAAAAGUUAUAAUUACAGAAGUCAGGGUGCGUUUGGUAAUUAAUGGACUUAAAUUGAAGAUAUUUGAAGGCUUAAGGGCUUAUUGGUAAUAAAGGGAUAUGUUAUGAAAGGAAUUUAUGGGAUCAGGGUUUAAAAGGUAAAUUUUGGAUUGAUGCUGAAAAUAAUAUGGGGAGGAGGGACCAAAAGUGUAUUUUUGGCAGGGUAGUUUGAUUUGGAGCUACGGGAUAUAUCUGAUCCCUUCAUCCUCUCGUCAAAAAGAAGGUGCAGCCAAAAAAAACCUUAACCCUAGAUCGUGUUUUCUCCAGCCGCCGCCAUGAGAGCUCCUAGGCUGCCGCUUCCCAUCGAUUUGAGCUCCACCGUUCGCAUGUUGCCUCGCCGGUGUGAGCCACGGCGACCCCCGCUACCGAAGAGUGAGUGUGAAGCCAAGUUUAGCCGCCAUUUCUUUCUCCUUCUUGUGCGUUUUCUGAUCAGAUUGAGGCCGCCAACGACCACCUCGCCAUUAAAACGCUAUUGCGACACUGCCGCUGGUCGGAGACGUUGUUAACACCUUGAAGAGCCACCGAGAUCGGUGACAUUCGCCGUUUUUGCUGCUGAGAGGGUCAUGCGUGACCUGAGGGUUCUCGGUAGGUAUCGUAACCUGCCACUUCUUCCUUCCUCUCACCUGAUCGGCGAUGUAACUGCCACCGGUGGCCCUUGGCCACUGAUCUCGUCAUUUCCCGCGAUGUAGCCACCUGAAAGGUAGCCGGAUGUUUAUGGGUUCCAAUUUACAACCUGUUUAUUAUGGUCUUGAAGUUGUGGGCGUGAUGUAUGGCUGGGAUGUUUGGUAUAAACUAGUAUUUUCGUGGGUGUUGUAGAUGUUGUUUGAUGACCGGAAAAUGGAGGAAGAACCCACCAUGGCCGCCAGCCAUGGUGGCUGCCGCCAAGCUCAGCUACCGGCCGCCAUGGUGUGUGUGUGAUUAGUUUGUGAGUGUGUGUGAUUAGUUU
rnacentral:lncRNA from 1 species